AGAGUUUGAUCCUGGCUCAGAACGAACGCUGGCGGCGUGGUUUAGGCAUGCAAGUCGCACGAUACUGCGUUAAUUUUCGCAAGAAAAUUAGCGCGGAUAGUGGCAAAAGGGUGAUUAACGCGUGGGUAAUUUGCCCUCGAGUUGGGAAUAACGUCUCGAAAGAGGCGCUAAUACCGAAUAAGACCACAGGGGCGUAUGCUCCAGAGGUCAAAGCCGGGGACUCCGCAAGGGGCCCGGCGCUUGAGGAUAAGCCCGCGUCCUAUCAGCUAGUUGGUGGGGUAACGGCCCACCAAGGCUAUUGACGGGUAGCUGGUCUUAGAGGAUGGUCAGCCACACUGGGACUGAGACACUGCCCAGACUCCUACGGGAGGCUGCAGUCGAGGAUCUUUCGCAAUGGGGGAAACCCUGACGAAGCGACGCCGCGUGGGCGAUGAAGGCCUUCGGGUUGUAAAGCCCUGUCACGGGGGACGAAUCCGCAAAGGGUAACAUCCUGAGCGAUUGACGGUACCCCGAGAGGAAGCCACGGCUAACUCCGUGCCAGCAGCCGCGGUAAUACGGAGGUGGCAAGCGUUGUUCGGAAUUACUGGGUGUAAAGGGCAUGUAGGCGGCCUGUUAAGUCGAUUGUGAAAUCCCUUGGCUCAACCAAGGAAUGGCGAUCGAAACUGGCGGGCUUGAGUGCAGGAGAGGAAAGCGGAAUUCCCGGUGUAAGGGUGAGAUCUGUAGAGAUCGGGAGGAACACCAGUGGCGUAGCGGCUUUCUGGCCUGUAACUGACGCUGAAAUGCGAAAGCUAGGGGAGCAAACAGGAUUAGAUACCCUGGUAGUCCUAGCCGUAAACGAUGGGCACUAGGUGUCGGUCCGCAAGGGCCGGUGCCGCAGUUAACACAUUAAGUGCCCCACCUGGGGACUACGGCCGCAAGGUUGAAACUCAAAGGAAUUGACGGGGACCCGCACAAGCGGUGGAGCAUGUGGUUUAAUACGACGCUACGCGUGGAACCUUACCAGGGCUUGACAUGUACAUGAAAGCCCGGCGAAAGCCGGGUCCUCCCUCAAGGACAUGUACACAGGUGUUGCAUGGCUGUCGUCAGCUCGUGUCGUGAGAUGUUGGGUUAAGUCCCGCAACGAGCGCAACCAUUGCCUUUAGUUGCCAUUCCGCAAGGAGGCACUCUAAAGGGACUGCCUGUUGUUUGACAGGAGGAAGGUGAAGAUGACGUCAAGUCAGUACGGCCCUUACGCCCUGGGCCACACACGUGCUACAAUGGGACGUACAAAGAGAAGCAAGACCGCGAGGUGGAGCAAAUCUCAAAAAGCGUCCCUCAGUUCGGAUUGCAGGCUGCAAUUCGCCUGCAUGAAGCCGGAAUCGCUAGUAACCGCGCAUCAGCCACGGCGCAGUGAAUACGUUCCCGGGUCUUGUACACACCGCCCGUCAAGUCACCUGAGUCGGUUGCACCCGAAGUCGCUGUACCAACCGCAAGGGGGAAGGCGCCUAAGGUGUGGCUGGCGAGGAGGACUAAGUCGUAACAAGGUAAC
rnacentral:rRNA from 1 species